rnacentral:snoRNA from 1 species
CCUUUCAUACAGCAUCAUGUUUUACAAACUAGAAACAUUCACACUGAUAUAAGCAGUUAUACGCAUGGGGUAGAAUAACAUUGGACCAGUGUAAAUUGAGGUGGAGUAACCAUUUCAUCUCUUCUGUACGGUCUAGACAUUG